AACAGGAUUAGAUACCCUGGUAGUCCACGCCGUAAACGAUGUCGACUUGGAGGUUGUUCCCUUGAGGCGUGGCUUCCGGAGCUAACGCGUUAAGUCGACCGCCUGGGGAGUACGGCCGCAAGGUUAAAACUCAAAUGAAUUGACGGGGGCCCGCACAAGCGGUGGAGCAUGUGGUUUAAUUCGAUGCAACGCGAAGAACCUUACCUACUCUUGACAUCCAGAGAACUUAGCAGAGAUGCUUUGGUGCCUUCGGGAACUCUGAGACAGGUGCUGCAUGGCUGUCGUCAGCUCGUGUUGUGAAAUGUUGGGUUAAGUCCCGCAACGAGCGCAACCCUUAUCCUUUGUUGCCAGCGGUUAGGCCGGGAACUCAAAGGAGACUGCCAGUGAUAAACUGGAGGAAGGUGGGGAUGACGUCAAGUCAUCAUGGCCCUUACGAGUAGGGCUACACACGUGCUACAAUGGCAUAUACAAAGAGAAGCGACCUCGCGAGAGCAAGCGGACCUCAUAAAGUAUGUCGUAGUCCGGAUUGGAGUCUGCAACUCGACUCCAUGAAGUCGGAAUCGCUAGUAAUCGUGGAUCAGAAUGCCACGGUGAAUACGUUCCCGGGCCUUGUACACACCGCCCGUCACACCAUGGGAGUGGGUUGCAAAAGAAGUAGGUAGCUUAACCUUCGGGAGGGCGCUUACCACUUUGUGAUUCAUGACUGGGGUGAAGUCGUAACAAGGUAACC
rnacentral:rRNA from 1 species